UGGGGAAUUUUGGACAAUGGGCGAAAGCCUGAUCCAGCAAUGCCGCGUGUGUGAAGAAGGCCUUCGGGUUGUAAAGCACUUUUGUCCGGAAAGAAAUCCUUGGCUCUAAUACAGUCGGGGGAUGACGGUACCGGAAGAAUAAGCACCGGCUAACUACGUGCCAGCAGCCGCGGUAAUACGUAGGGUGCAAGCGUUAAUCGGAAUUACUGGGCGUAAAGCGUGCGCAGGCGGUUUCGCUAAGACCGAUGUGAAAUCCCCGGGCUCAACCUGGGAACUGCAUUGGUGACUGGCAGGCUAGAGUAUGGCAGAGGGGGGUAGAAUUCCACGUGUAGCAGUGAAAUGCGUAGAGAUGUGGAGGAAUACCGAUGGCGAAGGCAGCCCCCUGGGCCAAAUACUGACGCUCAUGCACGAAAGCGU
rnacentral:rRNA from 1 species